UCUCUUUCAAAAAUUGGAUAAAAUAAUCCUUGAUGAUUUUUAUUUUUUUAAUAAUCCUUCGUGAAUAUUACUGCUUUUCUUACAUGUCAAUGCUCUAGAUGUAAAGAAAUUAAUAGAAGUGCUCUAGGUUUUUGAUAAAUACAGAAGGAAUACUUAUCCAGAACAAAAAAUCACAGAAAAAUUGAAGACAUAACGCACUCAUUGCACUCUGCACGUAUGCAAGUUGUUAUUAUUAUCCUGAACAUAGACUGUUGUUCGACUUGCGAGUCAGAAGUACACUACCAGUCCUGCAUGUCCCUAGUUCUUUACAUUAAUUAAAUUCUCUAAGAGUUUUUAGAACUUCAUCGACUGUUAAUUACUCGUACUACUAAAUGAAGUAGGUUCUUGUAAUUUUAUCAUACACAGCCUUGGAGAACUUACUUUAUACAUUGCUGUUUCCAGUGUAUGUCUGCCAUUGGACAGUUGAGUAAAGGGCGAAGCAAGGAGGACAAGGAGAGCUCAGAGCUGCAAUCUUUGUCCGCAAUGGCAUUGGAGAAAGACUAUAAGCAGAGAGCUCCCAGCAAUCUCUCUGUACUUAGUUCAACAUUAAGAAGCUUGAAAAUCUAACCAUGUUAGCAUAUAGCUUUAUUGGAAGCGCACCAUACUGUUCUGUGCUUAGUUCAACAUUAAGAAGCUUGAAAAUCUAACCAUGUUAGCAUAUAGCUUUAUUGGAAGCGCACCAUACUGUACGCAGUGUGCCCUUCAAGUUUUAAGUUUGUCUCAGAUUUUUUUCUUCAUAUUCUUCUACUCCUUGCAUUAUUUGUCUUAUUUGUGGAAGUGCUGGAUUCCACUUUAGUAAGUAGGGGACGAAAAUGGCAAUGCAAUUUAGUAAAAUUAUUAUUUUUAGACAAUUUUGGGGAACUUCAAUGUUGAAUACAAUACUUGAACUUCAUGUUGGGUCGUGAAUAGAUUUCUGUUGGAAAAGUUUGUGGAGUAUACUCUGUUAGUUAAUCGUUUGUAGAAAUUGGAAAAUGUGACUUUAAGGACUUUUAAACAAGUUUUUUUGCCGCAUAGUUCUGUGUUUCCCAAACAAAGCUACGCCCAUUUUACCGUUAUAAGCUAUUCUGUAUUGUUGUGAAACAGUGAAACUGAGGAUGUCCAAAAGGAGUGAAUAGAACAAAAGAAGUGUGAUGGAUUGUACAUAAUUCAUCCUUGAGUGAU
rnacentral:lncRNA from 1 species